rnacentral:rRNA from 1 species
UACGUAGGGUGCGAGCGUUAAUCGGAAUUACUGGGCGUAAAGCGUGCGCAGGCGGUUCGCUAAGACCGAUGUGAAAUCCCCGGGCUUAACCUGGGAACUGCAUUGGUAACUGGCGGGCUAGAGUGUGGCAGAGGGGGGUAGAAUUCCACGUGUAGCAGUGAAAUGCGUAGAGAUGUGGAGGAAUACCGAUGGCGAAGGCAGCCCCCUGGGCUAACACUGACGCUCAUGCACGAAAGCGUGGGGAGCAAACAGG